rnacentral:rRNA from 1 species
CACGAAGGGGGCUAGCGUUGCUCGGAAUCACUGGGCGUAAAGGGUGCGUAGGCGGGUCUUUAAGUCAGGGGUGAAAUCCUGGAGCUCAACUCCAGAACUGCCUUUGAUACUGGAGAGCUAGAGUCCGGAAGAGGUGAGUGGAACUGCGAGUGUAGAGGUGAAAUUCGUAGAUAUUCGCAAGAACACCAGUGGCGAAGGCGGCUCACUGGUCCGGUACUGACGCUGAGGUGCGAAAGCGUGGGGAGCAAACAGG